GCUGACGCUUGCAGAAAACGGAAGCUCCCCUAUGCCCUAUGGCCUAUGGCCGCUCCAUUGACCGUGGAGGUGGUGUGGAAUAUUGCGUUGCUUGCGCGAGCUCUUACGCAUCUUCUUCUCUUCGAGCCUUCCACAGUUCUACCUCCCGCCCGCUGGUCCCUAGCCGUCAAGAGAUUCCACGCUACUGGCUUUCUUGCCCCACGCCGUAUGGUUAUCGUCCAGCACGAGCGGAGAAACUGAAACACGAUCCCAACCAAUUCAGAACCCGAUUUGGUGAUCACCUCCAUUCUCGGUAGCACUUAAUUCCAGGGACAGCAAUAAGAAUUGCUCCUCUCCAAGUUCUUUUGGAGCGUAAUCUUAUCCGUUUGGGUCGGAUUGAUAUUUGAUAACUUGAUUGCCAUUUGGGGAGUUGCGGGAGAGAGAGAGAGAUGGGCCAGAGCAAGGCGGAGUUCUUGAAGCAGUUCGGUGGGGACUACGGUUACCCGGACGCGCCUAGGGGCAUCGACGAGCUGCGGGCCGCCGAGUUCAAGCGCCUGGAAGGGAUGGUUUACCUGGACCAUGCUGGUGCGACACUGUACUCAGAGGCACAGAUGACGGAUGUUGCUAGAGACCUUAUGUCUAAUGUCUAUGGGAAUCCUCAUAGCCAGAACGAUUCAAGCAUGGCUACAAUCGAUGCUGUUACUUCUGUGCGGCAUCAGGUCCUAAAAUACUUCAAUGCAUCUCCAAGGGACUACAAAUGUAUAUUUACAUCAGGGGCAACAGCAGCCCUAAAACUUGUUGGUGAAUGUUUUCCAUGGAGUAGAGACAGUUGCUAUAUGUACACAAUGGAAAAUCAUAAUAGUGUUCUUGGGAUAAGAGAAUAUGCUCUGAGCAAAGGAGCUACUGUAUCAGCAGUUGAUGUUGAAGAGGUUGUUGAUCCAUCAAAGAAUCAUGAGAGUGAUAGUUUAUUUAAGGUUUCAAAACGCUCAAACCAAAGAAGAGGUGACAAUGUGCUUUUGCACAAUUAUCAGAAUGGAAGCCUGUCAGCUAUUUCAGGAAACAAUUUAAAUCUAUUUGCAUUCCCUUCAGAGUGCAAUUUCUCAGGGCAUAAGUUCAACCUCAGCUUGGUCAAGCUCAUCAAGGAAGGAAAAUUUAUGGAUUUCUCAUCACAACAGCAGGGCCAGUGGAUGGUUCUGAUAGAUGCUGCAAAAGGAUGUGCAACUGAACCACCAAACUUGACCCUGUAUCCCGCUGAUUUUGUUGUCUGUUCAUUUUACAAGAUAUUUGGCUAUCCAACUGGUCUUGGUGCCUUAAUUGUAAAAAAUGAGGCUGCUAGUUUACUGAACAAGACAUACUUCAGUGGAGGAACGGUAGCUGCUUCAAUUGCUGACAUCGACUUUGUUCAGAAAAGAAAAGGCAUUGAGCAAACUCUUGAGGAUGGAACAAUCUCAUUCUUGAGCAUAUCUUCUCUUCGAUAUGGCUUUAAGAUAAUUGAUAUCCUAACUAUCUCAGCUAUUGCACGGCAUACUGCAUCUCUUGCUACUUAUGUGAGAAACAAAAUGCUGGAAUUGAAGCAUAGCAAUGAGAAAAAUGUUUGCAUAAUCUAUGGACAAGAUUUUAAGGCAAAUUAUCUGAAAAUGGGUCCUUCAAUCACAUUCAAUUUGAAAAGAGAAGAUGGCACAUGGUUUGGAUAUCGUGAGGUGGAGAAGCUUGCCUCAUUGUCAGGAAUUCAUUUGCGUACGGGCUGCUUCUGUAACCCUGGUGCAUGUGCUAAGUAUGUUGGUUUGUCACACUCAGAUCUAGUUUCCAAUUUUGAGGCUGGGCAUGUUUGUUGGGAUGAUAAUGACGUAAUAAAUGGAAAACCAACUGGUGCUGUGAGGAUAUCAUUUGGCUAUAUGUCCACAUACGAAGAUGCAGAGGAAUUUCUUAAGUUCCUGCAGUCAUCUUUUGUGUCCAAACCUGCAGAAUUGAACAAUGGCUACAUGGUGAAUAUGAAUACUCUUAGUUUAGUAGAUGAUUGGUGCCAGCAAGCUAUUUCAGAUAUUCGGUUAAAAUCCAUAACUAUCUACCCUGUGAAAUCUUGCCAAGGAUUUAGUGUGCAGAGCUGGCCACUGACAACUGGUGGUUUAAAAUAUGAUAGAGAAUGGCUUCUCCAAGGAUCAGGGGGUGAAGUUUUGACGCAAAAAAAGGUUCCCGAAUUGAGCUCUAUCUGCACAUUGAUUGACCUGAAGCUUGGGAAACUCUUCUUAGAAUCGCCAAAAUGCAAGGAUAAAUUGCAAAUCUCUCUUCUAAAGAAUCUGACUCAUCUGAGUGCAGAAGUAGAUGUAUAUGGUCAAAGGUAUGAGGUCCAAAGUUAUGGUGAGAAUGUAAACUCUUGGUUCAGUGAAGCUAUUGGACGUCCUUGUACCUUUAUGAGAUGCUCAAGUUCCAAGUAUCGUUCCUGCGUAACUAACGGCAAUAGAGAUCACCUCUGUAGAGAUACUCGAAGCAAACUUAGUUUUGUGAAUGAAGGACAGCUGCUUCUUGUUUCUGAAGAAAGUACAUCUGAUCUCAACAGCCGGUUAAGUUUAAGUAAUGGAAAUGGUAAACAACAGGUGUUUGCUGAUGCAAUGAGAUUUCGUCCAAAUAUUGUUGUCUCUGGGUCCACACCAUACAACGAGGACAACUGGAAAAGGCUUCACAUUGGGGAUGCCUAUUUUACUCAUGGGCAAGAAAGGAAGAAAAGAGCGAAAGGUGCAUUGAAGUUCUAGGAUGACAUGUAUUUGGAAAGCGAUUUAGAAUGCUAAAACAAGAGAGUGUAUCCUCGACCACAUGUGGGAAGAAGCCCCCUGGUCGUCAUUGAAAUAAGAAGAGAGGGAGCGUAUCACACUUCACAGUCCAUGGGAGGAUGCAACCGUUGUCAGAUGAUCAACCUAUAUCAGAGCUCAGGGCAGGUGAUCAAGUCAAAGGAACCGCUGGCAACUUUAGCAUCGUAUAGACGAAAACAUGGAAAGAUUUUGUUUGGCGUCCUGUUGAACUAUGAAGAUGACAUGGAGGGAGAAGAUGAUGCCAUUGUAGAGAGAUGGCUCAAAGUGGGGCAAGAGGUGUACCCUUCAACAUAAUAAUGACUUCCAUACAUGUGUACCAAACGAAAUGGUCUCUAGCCGAGUUGGUUAGGUGAUCUAAGUAACACUUCUCAGGUCCCGAGUUCGACUAUCCGUGGGAACGAAUUUCAGGCUCAUGCGUACCCAGAAGUUUCGCUAGGCUGACGGGUAACAAUUGCUACAAUACGUGAAAAGUAGACUUUCUCAAUACACCAUGUAUGUAAUAAUUUUCUUUUCACAUAUGUACGUAAUAGGGCAGGCCUCAUGUAGUGGUGAGAAUUGUCUCACUGAGUCAUGUUGUUACAUAAGAGGUUGAUGCAUGUAUUCAGACACAAAUAUAGAAAACAAAGAUACCACA